rnacentral:rRNA from 1 species
UACGGAAGGCAGCAGUGGGGAAUAUUGCACAAUGGGCGAAAGCCUGAUGCAGCUAUGCCGCGUGUAUGAAGAAGGCCUUAGGGUUGUAAAGUACUUUCAUCGGGGAGGAAAAAACAAAACUAAUAAUUUUAUUUCUUGACGUUACCCGAAAAAGAAGCACCGGCUAACUCCGUGCCGGCAGCCGCGGUAAUACGGAGGGUGCUAGCGUUAAUCAGAAUUACUGGGCGUAAAGAGCACGUAGGUGGUUUUUUUAAAGUUCAGAUGUGAAAUCCCUGGGCUUAACCUAGGAACUGCAUUUUGAAACUGAAAUACUAGAGUAUCGUAGAGGGAGGUAGAAUUCUAGGUGUAGCGGUGAAAUGCGUAGAUAUCUGGAGGAAUACCUGUGGCGAAAGCGGCCUCCUAAACGAAUACUGACACUGAGGGUGCG